GACGAACGCUGGCGGCGUGCUUAACACAUGCAAGUCGAACGGAAAGGCCUGCUUUCCCUUGUGGAUUGCGGGUACUCGAGUGGCGAACGGGUGAGUAACACGUGAGUGAUCUGCCCCCAACUUGGGUAUAAGCCUGGGAAACUGGGUCUAAUUCCCGAUAGGACUGCAGGGUGGUGCCUGUGGUGGAAAACGAUUUUCUAGUGGUUGGGGAUGAGCUCGCGGCCUAUCAGCUUGUUGGUGGGGUAAUGGCCUACCAAGGCGGCGACGGGUAGCCGGCCUGAGAGGGUGGACGGCCACAUUGGGACUGAGAUACGGCCCAGACUCCUACGGGAGGCAGCAGUGGGGAAUAUUGCACAAUGGGCGGAAGCCUGAGGCAGCGACGCCGCGGGGGGGAUGACGGCCUUCGGGUUGUAAACUCCUUUCGACCGCGAGGAAGCCACCUGGUUGGAAGGGUGGUGACGGUAGUGGUAGAAGAAGCACCGGCUAACUACGUG
rnacentral:rRNA from 1 species